rnacentral:rRNA from 1 species
UACGUAGGGUGCAAGCGUUAAUCGGAAUUACUGGGCGUAAAGCGUGCGCAGGCGGUUGUGCAAGACAGAUGUGAAAUCCCCGGGCUUAACCUGGGAACUGCAUUUGUGACUGCACGGCUAGAGUGUGUCAGAGGGGGGUAGAAUUCCACGUGUAGCAGUGAAAUGCGUAGAGAUGUGGAGGAACACCGAUGGCGAAGGCAGCCCCCUGGGCCAAUACUGACGCUCAUGCACGAAAGCGUGGGGAGCAAACAGG